rnacentral:rRNA from 1 species
AUAUCAAUAAGCGGAGGAAAAGAAACCAACCGGGAUUGCCUCAGUAACGGCGAGUGAAGCGGCAAGAGCUCAAAUUUGAAAGCUGGCCCCUCCGGGGUCCGCGUUGUAAUUUGAAGAGGAUGCCUCGCGGAAGGUCGCCCCCUAAGUCCCUUGGAACGGGGCGUCAGAGAGGGUGAGAGUCCCGUCUUCGGGGGACGGCCGGACGCGUGUGAGGCUCCUUCGACGAGUCGAGUUGUUUGGGAAUGCAGCUCCAAUUGGGAGGUAAAUUCCUUCUAAAGCUAAAUAUCGCCUGGAGACCGAUAGCGCACAAGUAGAGUGAUCGAAAGAUGAAAAGCACUUUGAAAGGAGAGUCAAACAGCACGUGAAAUCGUUGAAAGGGAAGCGGUGGCAACCAGACUCGGCGGCGGUCGAUCACCCGUGGUCCUCCACGGGGCACUCGGUCGUCGUCGGGCCAGCAUCGGUCGGGGGGGCGGGAGAAAGACGGCGGGAAUGUGGCUCCUCUCGGGGAGUGUUAUAGCCCGUCGUGGAAUGUCGCCUCCCCCGACCGAGGUCCGCGCUACGGCUAGGAUGCUGGCGUAAUGGUUGUCACCAU